rnacentral:misc_RNA from 1 species
AUAGUAAGACCGAUAGGGACAAAUGUUGCACUGAAUGCCUCGCUCCAGGAUCAACACGCCGGCAUUGGGCGGGUGAAUCCUAAACGAGCUGCUGCAGCGGCGGCCCACAGUGUCGCAUUUCAUGCGUUCAUGAGUCAGCCUGACGCCUCCACGGACCUGGGCCAAACUAUGGUUUUUGACACCGUCCUGACUAACGCUGGGUCCUCUUACAACCAGCGUGACGGCGUCUUCACCGCCCCCACCGCCGGCGUGUACGUGUUCCAUUGGGUCACCUACAGCCAGCACCAGGGUGACGUCAUCACCGAGCUGGUGGUCAACUCGGUCAGCCGGGGCUGUAGUCGGUCAGAUAGCCACACCCUGGACGAGCACCACGCCUCCAGCGGAUUGGUGGUGCUGCAUGUUAGCCAGGGGGACCUCGUGUCUGUGAGGACGCACUCUGUGUGGCAUAGCAUUGGUAAAGUCAUGAGCUUCGAUGACUAUUACAGGUCCUCUUUCAGUGGAUGGUUGUUGGUCUAACCAAUAUUAAACUCACUAUUGCUAGUAAGCCUAUUUGACUACCAGAUGAAAAUCUCUGAUUUUCUGAAGGUAAAUGUUUUCUAAGUGUUAGAAAUAAAUAGAUCUGCAGCCCUU